AUACGUAGGGGCCAAACGUUGUCCGGAUUUAUUGGGCGUAAAGGGCUCGUAGGCGGUUUAACAAGUCGGUCGUGAAAACCCGGGGCUCAACCCCGGGACGCCGGUCGAAACUGUUAUGACUAGGGUCCGGUAGAGGUGAGUGGAAUUCUCGGUGUAGCGGUGGAAUGCGCAGAUAUCGAGAGGAACACCAGUAGCGAAGGCGGCUCACUGGGCCGGUACCGACGCUGAGGAGCGAAAGCAUGGGGAGCAAACAGGAUUAGAUACCCCAGUAGUCC
rnacentral:rRNA from 1 species